UAGCUCACAACACAUAAUGAUUUUAUUUCCAAUCCAUUAAUCAUAACAAAUACAACACAAGCAUUUGGAUCAACCAUACUAUUUAACAACACAACUUAACUGAUAGUCCAAAACAACUAGCAUUAAAUACAAAGAUUGAUGGCUUGGUUCAUCUAGUCUUUCUUAUACUAAUUAUUGUAAGAUGCCAAUAUCUUUUUUGAUCUUGUUUUAUGAUCAGGAUAUAUAUUUCCAUGACCCUAUCAUAAAUGUGUAAAGUUUAUUACUAUUUCAAAUAGUACACUGUAGCCACUUUUAAUAGCAUAGGUAUAAAAGAUUAAAUUAAACAAAUAAUCAGAAAACUUUCUGAAACAAAAUACAUAAGCAGUAGUAGAGUUUACCUGACAGAACUCAACUCCCAGUGUGGCUCUGCGGAGACGACAAUAAAAAGUAUGAUCUUUUCCUAUAUUACUUAGGUUUUAUAAUGAACAUAAGGUACGGAGAGAAUUCUGGCUAUGAUGUAGGCUCCCCAAGUAAUCACACUUUGAUUUCCAAACAAAUAGACUGUAUGACUGCAUCAGGUAGGGGCCAUAGAAGGUGUGAUAAUUGGAGUUUGCGCCCAUUAUAUGUAGGUUUGCUGUGUAUUUACCAAGAAUAUGAUGGCUAUAUUCAAAUUUAAGAUAUGAUCCAGACAUGGCCAUUACACAAGCUAAAUAGUUAUAUUAUUAUGAUUAAUGUUAUUGCAGUUAAUGUAAUGAUUGCAUAGCAGCAUACGCUCCAUCAGCCCAGUGUAGGUCAAUGAAACAAUUGUCAAUACGCAUUUAAAUAUUGCAUUCUUUGCAAGCCCAGUUUAGCACUACAUAUACGUGCAAUACAUAACUAGGAGGGGGGAGAAGAGUAAAGGAAUGUCCUGUAUGAGUUAUUUGAUGGGUUUCUUUAAAUUGCCAACACUCCACAGGUGUUAGAGAGGCUUUUUCAUUUUAAAAACUGGACAUACUGCCUUGGGCCUCAUUAUAGUCCACAAUCUACUUUAUCCUUGUUACUAGCUAUAGACUGUAACCUCGUUGGAGCAGGGUCCUCUAAAACCUAUCAUUCAUGUAAGUUUUGUUAUAAUUGUCCUAUGUAUAGUUAAAUCCCCCGUCUCAUAAUAUUGUAAAGCGCUACGGAAUCUGUUGGCGCUAUAUAAAUGUCAAUAAUAAUUAUAAUAAUAGUGGAUGUGCAGAUGGAUGGAAACAGUGAUUCUUUUUUCAAUCGUGACAACUCCAAAGGUUGCUUCCACUCUCCUCAACACAUUUAUAAAUCAGAAUCUUACAAUAAAGCUUAAUAAUCAAUAAAUACUCUUUCAGAGAUACCAAUGGAGUUGAAAUUGCUACAGGCUAAAAGUCUAUGCGCUUACUACCUAGUUAUCAUCUUUCCAGAUUUGUAACAUACGGACGAAAUUCUGCCCAAGUGGUGAUGCUCUGCUUGGGGUUGAAAGGCAAGUGCCACCAUUCACACAGUGUCCCAUUAGACCUGCUGGCAUUCAAAUCUGGAUGGCUGUCUAAGAAGAUCUAUCGGACAACAGUACAAUACAGGUCCCAACCUGUGCUUUGGUCAUUUCCUAUUGGUGUACUGGAGGGACGUAUAAGAACCUGAAUGCUAAGCAUGACUACCAAUUCAACUACAUGACAUCAGAGAUUAUAAUGGAUUUCCAAAAUCAUUUGCUAUUCUGACAUCCUUAAAAAAAUAGUUGUAAUUAUUCUGUAUAAAUAAUGCGUAUGCCUUAAUAUAAAUAGAUAUAGAAAUAUAUAUUAUAUUUAAUACAAAUUAGAAUAUAUAGAUAUGAAGCUGUGCUUUCUUACCAUGAAAUAAACAGCAUCUUUCAUUACUGCAGAGCAAAACUUCUAUUGAGCUUAGUAAAUAUUUGUGAUUGCCAUUAUCCACAAAAGAAAAAUCUUUAAAAUGUAUUCUAUUCCUUAACAUGCUGAAAAUAAACAUCACAUUUAUCCCUCCAGACAUUUAAUUGCACAAACAUUUCAUUACACUGAUAACCAUAGACCAGGGAUAGGCAACCUUUUAGCAGCACUGUGCCGAUAUAGGCUGGUGAUGUCCUGUAGCAUGCCGGUCCUAUUUUUUUAAAUUGAGUUGUGUAUGCUGCCAUAUUCUGCUUGUGUUAUUUCUAUUGCAGUUGCUUUGUAUCGUUGUAUUUGUGCGUAUAUAAGCUAUUAUAUUGUAUAUGUUCAUUAGUAGUUUAUGGUAUUGUGUAUGAUACAUAUGAAUAUGGGCUGUGUAUGAGGGUUGCUUAUGGAAUUGUGUGUGGAUGGAUAUGUCACAUUGUGUGUUUGGUAGUGUGUGGGGGCUGUUUGGGGUAUUGCAUGUGAGAGGCUGCAUGUGGGUUUGUGUGCAUGUAUGUGGAUUGUUAGCGGGUUACGUUUGUGCGGAUUGUGUGUAUGUUUGUGUGUGGGCUGUUCAUAUUAUUUGUAUGAGGGGAGGGUUAUUCUGCAUUUCUGUGUAUAUCUUGCAUGUGUGUGGCUUCCCUGGGUUCCAGUGGGGACCAGGCUGGCCAGAUACAGGUUUAAGGACAGGAGCUGCAACAGCAGCUGCGGGCUGCUCUACUACAGUGUGGAUUACCAUUCACAAGUGCUGGGAGGAAGUGAUCUGUGAUCACUUCCUCUAUGUACUGCAAUGCUUAAAUUGAGGAUUGUCCUUCACCACCUUUUCGUAUUAGCAGAUAUGUGAAGUUUUACUGGGACUCCUGAUAGGCCAGAGCCUGUUUGGCUCUAGCAGCCUUGAGUGCCGUGCAAACACACCUUGAGUGCCGUGCAUGGCACUAGUGCCGUAGGUUGCCUACCCCUGCCAUAGACCCUCCAUUUCAUUAUAUUUGCAAAGGCAUGCACGAUAAAUGGCAACAUUCAUUAGAAACAUUGUGGGUAUAUUUCUUUACUGUCACUUCUCCAGAAUUUAUACCACUGAAAACAUUGAAUUUCAUUGAUAAAUUGUGGUAAUCUUUUUUUUCAUGUGAUGCUCAGUUUAAAAAAAAAAAAAAGUAUUUACAUCAGAUACAUGAUCAUACGUCAUAAUCCAGCUCAGAGGAGGCAAGGCCAGGGCAAGGAUUGCAAAUAAAGGGGGCAAAUAGAAAUUUUAUUUCAUUCAUUUUUCCUCUGUAUGCUUUCUCUAGUCUAUGCUGACUAAGAAGGACAGAGCUUGCAAUAAUUAGUGAUAGGGAGCUAUAAUGUUGGCAAAAUGUGGUAGAAUAAAGAGGUGUCAAUUUCUAAAUUUAAUUUUAUUAUUCACACCUCAGAAAUACAUCUUGCUGAAUACCAUUAUGUGUGAAGAGUGUGUCCAUUUUUUUUUCAUUUUACAAAUAGUAUUGAUACCGGAGAAACUGACGGAAGCAAAGCACAGAGGGAUGGACACAGGUUUCUUCAGGAAGGAAGAGAUUCUUUAUUGGAUCACCG